rnacentral:rRNA from 1 species
UACGUAGGGGGCUAGCGUUGUCCGGAUUUAUUGGGCGUAAAGAGCGUGUAGGCGGCCAGAUACGUCUGCUGUGAAAACUCGAGGCUCAACCUCGAGACGUCGGCGGAAACCAUCUGGCUAGAGUCCGGAAGAGGAGAGUGGAAUUCCUGGUGUAGCGGUGAAAUGCGCAGAUAUCAGGAAGAACACCCGUGGCGAAGGCGGCUCUCUGGGACGGUACUGACGCUGAGACGCGAAAGCGUGGGGAGCGAACUGG